rnacentral:lncRNA from 1 species
CUCACUCCGCACUAGGAUAGUCCUGGGUGGCCCCGUGUCUACCAAAGACACAAUGACCACCGUCGUGGCCAAAACAGCCACCAUUGUGGCAAACAAAACGGUCCCAAACGGGGCCACGUGCGCAAAAUCCAACUACAGGCACACAAGGUUAUGUCUACUUACCGGUCCAGGGUACCGCACGCCCAUAACCUUCCCUCGUUGGAGGCACCGACGAGAGGCAUGACAAUAGAACGCAUUAGGGCCUUCCCAUAAAGGAAAAUGUGGUUGCACUGGAAAAAGCCCAGUUCGGUGGCACCUGACCAACUUAAUGACGGAAUUUAUCCCCAAAGUAUAAUAGUAAUGACUGAUAUUCCGAUAUCAUCUAUCUACCUAUAAUCCAAGUCAUAACAUGUAACACCCUCGAUGCGACUAUAGCUCCCACGUGUCGAGGCACGACUUAGAGACAUAAUCGCAUUUAAGGCAUAUGUCGCAAGUUAGGCAAUCUUCACAACAUCCCAUGUAAUAUAAAUAAUAAAGGGGAUAUAACAUAGUUGGCUUACACUUGCCACGUCAAACAAGUAUAUAAAUAACAUUACAUCAUCCAAACACUCAUGGCCCGGCUACGGCGCCAAAAUAAAAGAGAACCCAACAUGCGACAACGGUCCCGUUCACCCCCAACUGGGCACCACUACUGAUCAUCGGGAAAUGAAACAUAGUAACGUUGAGAGUCUUCAUCGAACUCCCACUUGAGCUCAUACGCGUCUCCUGGAGCGGAAUCAUCAGGCCCUGCAUCUGGUGUAAUAGUAAUCUGUGAGCCACAGGGACUCAGCAAUCUCGCACCCUCGCGAUCAAGACUAUUUAAGCUUAUAGGUAAGGCAAGGUAAAUAUAUGGAGCUGCAGCAAGCGACUAGCAAGUAUGGUGGCUAACUUAUUCACAAAAGAGAGCGAGAAGAGGAGGCAAAGCGCGAGCGUGAAACUAGAGAGCAACCUGCGCAAACAUUACUCCAACACCGUGUCCACUUCCCGGACUCCAACGAGAAGAGGCCAUCAUGGUAACACACUCAGUUGAUUCAUUUUAAUUAAGUUAAGGUUCAAGUUAUCUACAACCGGACAUUAACAAAUUCCCAUCUGCCCAUAACUGCGGGCACGGCUUUCGAAAGUUCAAUCCAUGCAGGGGAGUCCCAACUUAGCCCAUGACAAGCUCUCACGGUCAACGAAGGAAUAGACCUCCUCCCAAGAUGUUCCAAUCAGACUCGGUGUCUCGGUAACUCAAGACACUUCGACAGGUUAAAACAAGACCAGCAACACCGCCCGAAUGUGCCAACAAAUCCCGAUAGGAGCUGCACAUAUCUCUUUCUCAGGGCACACUCAGAUGAGACAUCCUACGAGUAAAAACCAACCCUCAAGUUGCCCCGAGGUGGCCCCGCAGUCUACUCGGUCGGACCAACACUCAGAGGAGCACUGGCCCGGGGGGGUUUAAAAUAAGAUGACCCGCGGGCUCCGGAAACCCGAGGGAAAAAGAGGCUAGGUGGCAAAGGGUAAGACCAAUGUUGGGCAUUGCUGGAAAAGCUUUAAUCAAGGCAAAAUAUCAAGGGGUUCCCAUUAUAACCCAACCACGUAAGGAACGCAAAAUCCGGGAACAUAACACCGAUAUGACGGAAACUAGGGCGGCAAGAGUGGAAACAAAACACUAGGCGAGAGGCCGAGCCUUCCACCCUUUACCAAGUAUAUAGAUGCAUUAAGAUAGCAAGAUAAUAUAAUGAUAUCCCAAUAAGUAAAUAAAUGUUCCAACAAGGAAUGGCCUCCAAUCUUCACCUGCAACUAGCAACGCUAUAAGAGGGGCUGAGCAAAGCGGUAACAUAGCCAAUCAACGGUUUGCUAGGACAAUGGUGGGUUAGAGGUUUGACAUGGCAAUUUGGGAGGCUUGCAAGCAAGUGGUAGGCAUCGUAGCAAUGGCAUAGCAAAAGAGAGAGCAAACUAGCAUAGCAAAGAUAGUAGUGAUUUCGAGGGUAUGAUCAUCUUGCCUGCACAGUUGUCAGAGUUGACUGGAUCCUCAAAAGCAAACUCAACGGGCUCCUCGUUAGCGAACUCGUCUCCCGGCUCUACCCAAACAAGAUAAACAAGCAACAAGGAUACAAUCAACCACGUGCAAACUCAACAACACAAUGCAAAGAUGAUAUGCUAUGCGGGAUGCGAUGCGGGAUGCAAAAAUGCAAGAUAUGACAGGAAAUGCAUGAACCUGGCCACAACUUGGAAAUCCAAGUGUGACACUGGAAAGAUGAGAUGAAAUCGCUUAAAAACGAUAUAAAGAACGCCGGAAUCAGAGUUACGGUUUGGAAAUGACAAGCGAUUCAAAUAUGACACCGGUCUGCAAUUUACAGCAAGUAGGCAUCUAAAUGCAACGAAAUGAACAUUCUACAGCACCCAAACAUGACAACAAAAUACAUGGCAGGGAUGCACACAAGAUGCUUAACAAAAGUCUAGCACUGAGCUACGGCCAAUUCAUCCAUUAACGUGUUCAAACAAGCAUGGCAAAAAUGCAUAUGGCAAACAUAUCUCACACUUAGUGAAAUUAACACUUGUCGGGAAUUUCAGAUCAGGUAGCCCUCUUCGGAGCAACAAAACUACAUGCUACAGGAUCUGAACAAGGCAAAGUAAAGCAUGGCAUGGAUCUACUCAAAGAUCUUAACAAAAGUCCCUUAAUGACCUUGAGCCAAAAGGGAUCAGAAAAUACAAUUGCAAGCACGUGAACAUAGCAAAAACAUAAUCAGUUUUCAGACUUAGUGAAAACUGGCACAUGCUGAAAUAUAACUCAAGUAGGCAUGUUUACGAGCUCGAUGCACUCACUACGGUGCAAGUCAUGGCAAGACAAGCAUACACCCAUCAAGAAGGCAUAAAAUGCAAUCUAUAUAUGGCAAGAACAAUGGCAUAGCAUGCACGGAUCAACUACAGCAUCACCGGCAAAAUUGCAAACAAGUUGACAAUCUGCCCAGAUUCACAAAGUAGCAAAAGUAGAGCUCGAUUGACUCAAGCUAGGGUGCUCCAUAAUUGCAAACAAAGACAUGGAUGGAUAGAGCACUACAAGUUUAACAAAACAUCCUUACUGAUCAUCCUCAAAAGAGGCACGGAUCACUAGGAAAUAACACGAACAUAUGGCAUCAUGAGAUGAACAGCUCCAGGACUUAGUGAAAUUACUAAGUCCCUGAAAACAGAAUUAGCAAGUGCACCACUUUGCAAGCUUGCACAAGUCACCACACACAUCCUAAAAAUACAUGGGUUGCACCUAUGGAGAGAUGACAAAACUCUUAACAAAACACAUGUAGAACUCGCGGGCAUAUCAUGCACACAUUAAUCAUGGCAAAAAUGACAAAAGUGCUAAACGGAGUAACAGAUCUGACAAUUAACUCAAGUAGCCCUCUUCUAACAGCAUUUCGGACAUCAAUAUAAACUCAAAUGAAAAUGAUGCAAUAUAAUGAAAUGAUGUACUCUCUGAGAUGAACAUUUUGAUAUGCUAUAUGCAUGAAUCGGAGCUACGGAUGCAAAGUUACAGAGCCACGAACAUGUGCACUUGUACUGAAAUUUCUGGGACUUAGAAAAAAAACGAAGUCAACCUAAAAUUUCAGAUCUGGAUCGCACGCUUCCCGAGGUGGAUCCGGGCUCGCCGGCGGGCUGGUCGACGACGAUGGACGGUGGUAGCCGGAGUUGGAGGGAGGAGGAGGCCGGGGCGGCGAAGUGGAGCGGCGAGGCGGCGGAGGGAGCUCGCCGGCCUCGGGCGAGCACGCGGCGGGGCGAAGGAGCUCCAGGCAGCUGGCGUUGGCUGCGGUGGCGCCGGACGGGAGGAGGACGGCGGCGGGGUCGCGAGGCGUCGGGGGCGAGGAGGCGGGCGGCGCUACGAGGGCNNNNNNNNNNNNNNNNNNNNNNNNNNNNNNNNNNNNNNNNNNNNNNNNNNNNNNNNNNNNNNNNNNNNNNNNNNNNNNNNNNNNNNNNNNNNNNNNNNNNNNNNNNNNNNNNNNNNNNNNNNNNNNNNNNNNNNNNNNNNNNNNNNNNNNNNNNNNNNNNNNNNNNNNNNNNNNNNNNNNNNNNNNNNNNNNNNNNNNNNNNNNNNNNNNNNNNNNNNNNNNNNNNNNNNNNNNNNNNNNNNNNNNNNNNNNNNNNNNNNNNNNNNNNNNNNNNNNNNNNNNNNNNNNNNNNNNNNNNNNNNNNNNNNNNNNNNNNNNNNNNNNNNNNNNNNNNNNNNNGCGGGUCGGCGGGGAUGCGCAGCGAUGUGGGCGCCCGGGCGGACGAAUCCCGGGGCGCCACGUGGCGGCGGACGGCGGGGCGGACAAAGUCCGGCGGCGGGAUUUUUGUCCGGCGUGGCACGGGGACGAUUUCUAGGGUUUGAGAGGGAGGAGAUUUGUGAAUUUCGGGACGGGGCUUUAAAUAGAGGUAGAGGGAGCUAGAAGAGUCCAAAUGAGGUGCGGUUUUCGGCCACGCGAUCGUGAUCGAACGCUCUAAAUGAUGGAGCAGAGUUAGGUGGGUUUUGGUCCAAAUUGGAGGGGUGUUGGACUGCAACACACACGAGGCCUUUUCGGUCCCUCGGUUAACCGUUGGAGUAUCAAACGAAGUCCAAAAGGUACGAAACUUGACAGACGGUCUACCGGUAGUAAGCCAAGGCCGCUUGGCAAGUCUUGGUCCAAUCCGGAAAUGUUUAAUCCCCACACACGAAAGAAAGCUAGAAAUGGCCACCGGAGGAGAACGAAGCGCCAGAAUGCAAAAUGGACAACGGGGAAAAUGUUCGAAUGCCUGAGACGAACAUGUAUGCAGAUGCAAUGCACAUGAUGACAUGAUAUGAGAUGGAUGACAACGACAACAACACACGGAGACGAAACCCGAACCCGAGGAAAUAAAUAACUUAACGCCAGAAACGGCAAGAGUUGGAGUACAAAUAGGGAAAGUUACAUCCGGGGUGUUACAACACUCCACCACUACGAAAGGAUCUCGUCCCGAGAUCUAGGACUGAAAGAACGCCGGGUACUCAGAACGGAGGUGAUCCUCGUGUUCCCAGGUAGCUUCACGGUCGGAAUGGUGUGACCACUUGACUUUGAGAAAUUUGAUCGACUUGUUGCGAGUCUUGCGUUCAGUCUCUUCAAGAAUAGCAACUGGGUACUCACGAUAGGAGAGAUCUUCUUGGAGCUCAAUGUCCUCGAAGUUGACGGUGCGGUCAGGAGUCUUGAAGCACUUUCGAAGCUGAGAGACAUGGAACACGUCAUGAACAUUUGCAAAGUUUGAAGGAAGCUCGAGUUGAUAGGUGAGUUCGCCUCUCUUGCUGACAAUCUUGAAAGGUCUCACGUAUCUAGGGGCAAGCUUCCCUUUGAUACCGAAGCGACGAGUAGCUUUCAUAGGAGAGACACGGAGGUAAACAUGAUCUCUGAUCUGGAAAGCCAAAUCGCGGUGCUUACUAUCAUAGUAGCUCUUCUGACGGGAUUGGGAUGCUUUGAGGUUAUCACGAAUGACUUUGCACAUUUCCUCUGCCUCUGUGAUUAAGUCAUUACCUAAAAGCUGACGUUCACCGAUUUCAGACCAGUUGAGAGGGGUACGACACUUCCUGCCAUACAGAAUUUCAAAAGGGGCCUUGCCCGAACUUGCUUGAAAACUGUUGUUGUAGGAGAAUUCAGCAUAAGGAAGACAAUCCUCCCACUUCAUGCCGAAGGAGAUCACACAAGCCCUGAGCAUAUCCUCAAGAAUCUGGUUGACACGCUCGACUUGACCGCUUGUUUGAGGAUGGAAAGCUGUGCUGAAGCGGAUGUUGGUGCCCAUGGCCUUCUGAAAAGAAUCCCAAAACUUCGAGGUAAAGAUGCUGCCAUGGUCUAAAGAGAUCGCUUGUGGAAUACCGUGCAGAGAGACAAUACAAGAGGUAUAGAGUUCCGCCAAUUGAGCUGCAGUGAUCGACUCUUUGAUAGGCAGAAAAUGAGCCACUUUGGUGAGUUUGUCGAUGACAACGAAUAUAGCAUCAUUGCCAUGCUUGGACUUUGGAAACCCAGUCACGAAGUCCAUUUCAAUGUGGUCAAACUUCCAUUCUGGAAUGGCAAGAGGUUGGAGGAGACCUGCUGGCCUUUGGUGUUCUGCCUUCACUCUUCUGCAGACAUCACAUUCAUUCAUGAAUUGAGCGAUCUCGCGCUUCAUUCGAGUCCACCAAUAAGCUUGCUUGAGGUCCUGAUACAUCUUCGUGCUCCCAGGGUGGAUGGAGAGGAGAGAAUUGUGAGCCUCGUUCAUGAUCACUUUACGAAGGUCACCUUUGGGUACAACAAUACGAUCCUCGAAGAAUAGAGUGUCCUUGUCAUCAAGGCGGUAGCACUUGUACUUGGACUGGCUCUUGGCAAUCCCAAUCUUCACCUUUUUCACCAUAGCAUCAAGAAGCUGGGCUUGGCGAAUCUGGUCUUCCAAGGUAGGAGAGACUUGAAGGUUGGCGAGGAAACCUUGAGGAAUAACUUGCAGAUUAAGUUUGCGAAAAGCUUCACAAAGCUCGGGUUGAUAAGGCUUGAGAAUCAGACUGUUGCAGUAAGCUUUCCUGCUCAAUGCGUCAGCAAUCACAUUGGCCUUGCCUGGAGUAUACUCAAUACUCGAAUUAUACUCUUGAAUCAUUUCGACCCAUCGAGUUUGCCCGAGGUUGAGAUUAGGCUGAGUGAAGAUGUACUUGAGACUCUUGUGAUCAGUGAAAAUGUCCACUUUUCUUCCCAAUAGAAGAUGUCUCCAAGUCAAAAGAGCAUGCACAACUGCCGCCAACUCAAGAUCAUGAGUGAGGUAGUUCUUCUCAUUAGGCUUCAACUGGCGAGAUGUAUAAGCAACAACUUUCUUCUCUUGCAUCAAUACUGCGCCAAGACCUUGGAGAGAGGCAUCACAAAAGACCUCGUACGGCUUGGAUUCAUCAGGCGGAGUCAGAACUGGAGCAGUGAUCAAUUUCUCUUUCAAAGUGUUGAAAGCAAUAUCACACUCCGGAGACCAAACGUACUUGACGUGCUUCUGGAGAAGAUUUGAGAGAGGCUUCGCAAUCUUGGAAAAGUUUUCAACGAAUCUUCGGCAAUAGCUUGCGAGACCGAGAAAACUGCGGAGUUGCUUCACGUUCUGAGGAGGUUCCCAAUUCACAAUUGCAGACACCUUCUCAGGAUUCACGGCAAUGCCCUUGGCAGAGAUGAUAUGACCAAGAUAAAGAACCUCAUCGAGCCAAAACUCACACUUGGAGAACUUGGCGUAGAACUGAUGUUCCCUGAGCUUAUCAAGAACCAAACGCAAGUGUUUGGCAUGAUCUUCCUUGUUCUUCGAGAAAACCAGAAUGUCAUCGAGAUAGACCAAAACGAAGUCAUUGGUGUAGGCGUUGAAGAUGAAAUUCAUCAUGCGAGAGAACGUCGGAGGAGCGUUGGCGAGGCCAAAAGACAUGACAGUGUAUUCAUAUGAAUCAAAGCUUGUCCUGAAAGCCGUCUUGGGAAUAUCUUGCUCAUGGAUUCGAAUCUGAUGAUAACCCAUACGGAGAUCAAGCUUGGAGAAUACUUGGGCACCUUUGAGUUGUUCGAACAGCUCAUUGAUGUUGGGAAGUGGAUAUUUGUUCUUGAUGGUCUUCUUGUUCACUGGACGGUAAUCAACACAAAGUCGGUCCGUUCCAUCCUUCUUCUUCACAAAAAGAACACCACAACCCCACAGAGAAGAACUAGGCCGGAUGAGACCCAUUUUCUCUUGAAUAUCGAGUUGCUUCUUUAGCUCUUUCAACUCUUCAAGUCCGAGCUUGUAAGGACGUUUGCACACAGGUUCCGUGUCAGGCUCAAGAUCAAUAACGAAUUCAACUGGCCGGUGCGGAGGCAUUCCUGGAAGCUCUUCUGGAAAGACGUCUUGAUAUUCGCAAACGACUGGAAUUUGGGAGAUAGCAUCCAAUUCACCCUUCUCAUUGAGAGAAAACAUACGGAUGGUAUCCUCACGAGCGGCAAAGACAAUUACAUCCUGAGACGAAUGAGUCAAUUGAAUCUGCCUGGCUGCACAAUCAAGCUGAGCCUUGUGCUUAGAAAGCCAAUCCAUUCCGAGAAUAAGAUCAAUAUCCGAGUUACCAAGAACCACUGGAGAAGAGAGAAACAUGUAAUCACCCAAUGUGAUAGAGAUAUCGGGAGCAACCAAACUAGAAGUCAAAAGCUUGCCGGGAGAAACAACUUGCAUGACUUUGGGCAUAAUCUCGGUAUCAACAUUGUGCUUCGAUGCAAAAGGGCAUGACAAAAAGGAAUGCGAUGCACCAGUGUCAAAAAGAACUUUUGCAGGAACAUCGUUAACAGGAAGGUUACCCAUGACCACAUCUGACGAGUCCUCUGCCUGAGCUGCAUUCAUCAAGUUGACCUUAGCGUGCUUGGGGUUAUGCUUGACCACAGUUGUACUUGUUGAUCUAACAGGAGGAGGAGGAGGAAGACGCCUCUGGUUUAGACACUUGUUGGCAUAGUGACCCUUCUGUUGGCACUUGUUGCACGUGACCUCUGAAAGCGGACGGUGAUACAGAGCACUCGAUCUUGGAGCUUGAGACGAAGUCUUGUUCUGAAAGCCAGGGUUGGGUGGGUGGGAAGAACCACUGCCACCUUUGCUCUUCUGCUGAUACGGCUGACGGAACGGAGGAGGAGGAAGCCAAUACUUCUGUUGCUUGGCCACUUGAGUAGAGGAAGAAGGAGUAACAUCUCUGACUCGCUUCUUGGAAGCAUCACACCUCAACUGAGCAGCCUCUUGCUUCAGUGCCAUGUUGUAGAACUCAUCGUAUCUCAAGGGCUCAAAGAGAACAAGAGCUAGCUGAAUUUCUUCUCUGAGACCACCCCUGAACUGAUAUAUCAUGCUCUUCUCAUCAGGGAUGUCCUGCUUGGCAAAGCGGGCGAGCUUCUGGAACAACUUGUUGUAGUCAUAGACAGACAAAGAGCCUUGCUUCAGAUUGCGGAAUUCCUCAUGCUUGCUUUCAACCACGCUUUGGGGAAUAGGAUGAGCUUGGAAAUCUCGACGGAAAUCAUCCCAAGUGAUAACACGUCCACCUCUGGAGUCCUUGUACUGCUGGAACCAUUCUGCAGCUUGAUCUUUGAGUUGGAAGGAAGCGAACUUGACAAAGUCCUUAGGCCUGACAUUACUGCACUCGAAAUGCUUGCACAGAUCCACAAGCCAAUCGUCAGCAUCGGUUGCCUCAACACAAUUGCUGAAAGUCUUUGGCCCGUUAGCAAGGAACUGGUUGAGUGUAGCAAAGUGACUCUGAUUGCUGCCUUGAUUCCCUUGACUGCCUUGAUUGCGCUCUUGAAGAAUUUGCAUGAUCAACUAUGUGUUUGCAUUGGUUGUGGCCAUCAUAGCUUGACAUGCCUCUGGAGGAGGUGGAGGUGGUGGCGGAUCAGGAUUCGGAGUUGUGCGCGUUGGAGGAGCCAUCCUAAAGAGGUUGACCACCAUUAGCACAUUGACAGAGAAAUAUUGAAGCUGAAUCCAAUGGAAUGAAAAUUGCAACAUAUAGUCUUCACAUCCGAACAAAAUGAACGAAUGCAUUCCUCUUGAAAUGGUCACAUAUCCAUAAAUUGAGAAGCCACGUAGAAUUAAGGUAGAGAAAUAAAUCAACAAGGUACGGAUCAAGAACGAAUAAUCGGUAAGAAAUCCCAAUCUCAAACCAAUAUCCGUGGAAGAAGAACUAGAGCUACUAGAAUUCCCACCUAUGAAACUCGCGAACCUUUCCGGUUAUGCAAUCAGGUGUUGGGGAUACAGGGGAAGCAUAAUAUCUCACCCAAACUAGCAAAUCCUACAUCCAGCUGUAUCCAUCCUUCAACACAUAACCAAGAAAACUUCGGAAACCAUCUACCUCAACCUUCGAAAAGCAUCCGUUAUACAAGUUAUGGCAAUACUCCAGAACUCCCGCCCCAGUACUGGGUGGCGUCGAGGUUAUCUCACCAACGAACUGCAUAAAAGAGAUUUUCGAUGUCGGCGUACUAGACUCAGGUAUUUCAGAACUGCAACAAUAAAAUUAUGAUGACAACACCUCAGAGCUCAACUCCCCGAGACACUUCCACUAAACCCCUGACAGGAGGCACCAAGACAAUGUUCUCAUCAUAAAACCAUCGGAACAAUUCCAAGAUACCCGCGUGAUCCUAAAAAAAUAUUAGUGAAAUUUGAGAAUAGAAGGGUCAAAACUCUACGUCAGGAUGCCUUACCAGAGCGAUGAGGAGACUGGGAAGUAAAAAUAAUUCCUAAACUCUCCGAUAUAUAAUUCCUAAAAGACUCAAAACAUUUUUCUAGACACAACUUGGCCGCUAAAAACGAUCAAGCAAUGGGGCUCCUAAGGUCGGGGAAGGCUCUGAUUACCAACUUGUAACACCCUCGAUGCGACUAUAGCUCCCACGUGUCGAGGCACGACUUAGAGACAUAAUCGCAUUGAAGGCAUAUGUCGCAAGUUAGGCAAUCUUCACAACGUCCCAUGUAAUAUAAAUAAUAAAGGGGAGAUAACAUAGUUGGCUUACACUCGCCACAUCAAACAAGUAUAUAAAUAACAUUACAUCAUCCAAACACUCAUGGCCCGGCUACGGCGCCAAAAUAAAAGAGAACCCAACAUGCGACAAUGGUCCCGUUCACCCCCAACUGGGCACCACUACUGAUCAUCGGGAAAGGAAACAUAGUAACGUUGAGAGUCUUCGUCGAACUCCCACUUGAGCUCAUACGCGUCUCCUGGAGUGGAAUCAUCAGGCCCUGCAUCUGGUCUAAUAGUAAUCUGUGAGCCACAGGGACUCAGCAAUCUCGCACCCUCACAAUCAAGACUAUUUAAGCUUAUAGGUAAGGCAAGGUAAAUAUAUGGAGCUGCAGCAAGCGACUAGCAAGUAUGGUGGCUAACUUAUUCACAAAAGAGAGCGAGAAGAGGAGGCAAAGUGCGAGCAUGAAACUAGAGAGCAACCUGCGCAAAGAUUACUCCAACACCGUGUCCACUUCCCAGACUCCACCGAGAAGAGGCCAUCACGGUAACACACUCAGUUGAUUCAUUUUAAUUAAGUUAAGGUUCAAGUUAUCUACAACCGGACAUUAACAAAUUACCAUCUACCCAUAACCGCGGGCACGACUUUCGAAAGUUCAAUCCCUGCAGGGGAGUCCCAACUUAGCCCAUGACAAGCUCUCACGAUCAAUGAAGGAAUAGACCUCCUCCCAAGACGUUCCGAUCAGACUCGGUAUCUCGGUAACUCAAGACACUUCGACAGGUUAAAACAAGACCAGCAACACCGCCCGAAUGUGCCGACAAAUCCCGAUAGGAGCUGCACAUAUCUCUUUCUCAGAACACACUCAGAUGAGACAUCCUACGAGUAAAAACCAACCCUCAAGUUGCCCCGAGGUGGCCCCGCAGUCUACUCGGUCGGACCAACACUUAGAGGAGCACUGGCCCGGGGGGGUUUAAAAUAAGAUGACCCGCGGGCUCCGGAAACCCGAGGGAAAAAGAGGCUAGGUGGCAAAGGGUAAGACCAAUGUUGGUUAUUGCUGGAAAAGCUUUAAUCAAGGUGAAAUAUCAAGGGGUUCCCAUUAUAACCCAACCGCGUAAGGAACGCAAAAUCCGGGAACAUAACACCGAUAUGACGGAAACUAGGGCGGCAAGAGUGGAACAAAACACUAGGCGAGAGGCCGAGCCUUCCACCCUUUACCAAGUAUAUAGAUGCAUUAAGAUAGCAAGAUAAUAUAAUGAUAUCCCAAUAAGUAAAUAAAUGUUCCAACAAGGAACGGCCUCCAAUGUUCACCUGCAACUAGCAACGCUAUAAGAGGGGCUGAGCAAAGCGGUAACAUAGCCAAUCAACGGUUUGCUAGGACAAUGGUGGGUUAGAGGUUUGACAUGGCAAUUUGGGAGGCUUGCAAGCAAGUGGUAGGCAUCGUAGCAAUGGCAUAGCAAAAGAGCGAGCAAACUAGCAUAGCAAAGAUAGUAGUGAUUUCGAGGGUAUGAUCAUCUUGCCUGCACAGUUGUCAGAGUUGACUGGAUCCUCAAAAGCAAACUCAACGGGCUCCUCGUUAGCGAACUCGUCUCCUAGAUCUACCCAAACAAGACAAACAAGCAACAAGGAUACAAUCAACCACGUGCAAAUUCAACAACACAAUGCAAAGAUGAUAUGCUAUGCGGGAUGCGAUGCGGGAUGCAAAAAUGCAAGAUAUGACAGGAAAUGCAUGAACCUGGCCUCAACUUGGAAAUCCAAGUGUGACACUGGAAAGAUGAGAUGAAAUCGCUUGAAAACGAUAUAAAGAACGCCAGAAUCGGAGUUACGGUUUGGAAAUGGCAAGUGAUUCAAAUAUGACACCGGUCUGCGAUUUACAGCAAGUAGGCAUCUAAAUGUAACGAAAUGAACAUUCUACAGCACCCAAACAUGACAACAAAAUACAUGGCAGGGAUGCACACAAGAUGCUUAACAAAAGUCUAGCACUGAGCUACGGCCAAUUCAUCCAUUAACGGGUUCAAACAAGCAUGGCAAAAAUGCAUAUGGCAAACAUAUCUCACACUUAGUGAAAUUAACACUUGUCGGGAAUUUCAGAUCAGGUAGCCCUCUUCGGAGCAACAAAACUACAUGCUACAGGAUCUGAACAAGGCAAAGUAAAGCAUGUCAUGGAUCUACUCAAAGAUCUUAACAAAAGUCCCUUAAUGACCUUGAGCCAAAAGGGAUCAGAAAAUACAAUUGCAAGCACGUGAACAUAGCAAAACAUAAUCAGUUUUCAGACUUAGUGAAAACUGGCACAUGCUGAAAUAUAACUCAAGUAGGCAUGUUUACGAGCUCGAUGCACUCACUACGGUGCAAAGUCAUGGCAAGACAAGCAUACACCCAUCAAGAAGGCAUAAAAUGCAAUCUAUAUAUGGCAAGAACAAUGGCAUAGCAUGCACGGAUCAACUACAACAUCACCAAAAAAAUUGCAAACAAGUUGACAAUCUGCCCAGAUUCACAAAGUAGAAAAAGUAGAGCUCGAUUGACUCAAGCUAGGGUGCUCCAUAAUUGCAAACAAAUACAUGGAUGGAUAGAGCACUACAAGUUUAACAAAACAUCCUUACUGAUCAUCCUCAAAAGAGGCACGGAUCACUAGGAAACAACACGAACAUAUGGCAUCAUGAGAUGAACAGCUCCAGGACUUAGUGAAAUUACUAAGUCCCUGAAAACAGAAUUAGCAAGUGCACCACUUUGCAAACUUGCACAAGUCACCACACACAUCCUAAAAAUACAUGGGUUGCACCUAUGGAGAGAUGACAAAACCCUUAACAAAACACAUGUAGAACUCGCGGGCAUAUCAUGCACACAUUAAUCAUGGCAAAAAUGACAAAAGUGCUAAACGGAGUAACAUAUCUGACAAUUAACUCAAGUAGCCCUAUUCUAACAGCAUUUCGGGCAUCAAGAUGGACUCAAAUGAAAAUGACGCAAUGUAAUAAAGUGAUGUACUCUCUGAGAUGAACAUUUUGAUAUGCUAUGUGCAUGAAUUGGAGCUACGGAUGCAAAGUUAUGGAGCCGCGAACAUGUGCACUUGUACUGAAAUUUCCGGGACUUAGAAAAAAAACAAAGUCAACCUAAAAUUUCAGAUCUGGAUUACACGCUUCCCGAGGUGGAUCCGGGCUCGCCGGCGGGCUGGUCGGCGACGAUGGACGGUGGUAGCCGGAGUUGGAGGGAGGAGGAGGCCGGGGCGGCACCGGCUUGCGGGGCGGCGAAGUGGAGCGGCGAGGCGGCGGAGGGAGCUCGCCGGCCUCGGGCGAGCACGCGGCGGGGCGAAGGAGCUUCGGGCAGCUGGCGUUGGCUGCGGUGGCACCGGACGAGAGGAGGACGGCGGCGGGGUCGCGAGGCGUCGGGGGCGAGGAGGCGGGCGGCGCUACGAGGGCGGCGGCGACCGGGCGACUUCGGGCCCUCGGGGGCCCCGGCUGGGCUCGCGGGCUGGCGGGGAUGCGUGGCGAUGUGGGCGCCCGGGCGGACGAAUCCCAGGGCGCCACGUGGCGGCGGACGGCGGGGCAGACAAAGUCCGGCGGCGGAUUUUUGUCCGGCGUGGCACGGGGACGAUUUCUAGGGUUUGAGAGGGAGGAGAUCUGCGAAUUUCGGGAGGGGGCUUUAAAUAGAGGUAGAGGUAGCUAGGAGAGUCCAAAUGAGGUGCGGUUUUUGGCCACGCGAUCGUGAUCGAACGCUCUAGAUGAUGGAGCAGAGUUAGGUGGGUUUUGGGCCAAAUUGGAGGGGUGUUGGGCUGCAACACACACGAGGCCUUUUAGGUCCCUCGGUUAACCGUUGGAGUAUCAAACGAAGUCCAAAAGGUACGAAACUUGACAGGCGGUCUAUCGGUAGUAAACCAAGGCCGCUUGGCAAGUCUCAGUCCAAUCCGGAAAUGUUUAAUCCCCACACACGAAAGAAAGCUAGAAAUGGCCACCGGAGGAGAACGAAGCGCCGGAAUGCAAAACGGACAACGGAGAAAAUGUUCGAAUGCCUGAGACGAACACGUAUGCAGAUGCAAUGCACAUGAUGACAUGAUAUGAGAUGCAUGACAACGACAACAACACACGGAGACGAAACCCGAACCCGAGGAAAUAAAUAACUUAACGCCGGAAACGGCAAGAGUUGGAGUACAAAUAGGGAAAGUUACAUCCGGGGUGUUACAUAACAAUAUCCAACAAAUAAUCCAAAGCUGAAUAUCAUAUCUCCAGAAUACUCCGAGGACAUCAUAACACUACUAUCAUGAUGAAUCCAAGAAUGAUAAGACUACUACUCAAAUAUCAAGAACUAACUAUCCAACUAUGAUCCACAUGAAAGCAUCAUCUCCAACAUCAUACUCCAAAACAUAAUAUCAUCUAGCAUCAUGAUGAAAAUAACACUAGCCACUAAUAAUCCAAAGGCAACAUGACAUCCAAAAUAAUGCUCCAAGAUAAUAACAGAUACCAUCAUGACAAAAAUCAUACUGGCCACUAAGAAUCCAAAGGCACAUGAUAUCCAAAGUAAUGCUCCAAGAUAAUAACAGAUACCAUCAUGACAAUAAUCAUACUAGCCACUAAGAAUCCAAAGGCACAUGAUAUCCAAAUUAAUCCUCAAAAUAUAAGUCCUAGAACUCCGGGCAAUAUCAAGAUCAAAACACUACUUCGAGUAAUGCCAUGCUCACAUCAUACAUAGCUAAUGCAAUAUUUUAAACAAGUUCAAGUAACUUAAACCAUGUCACUGCAUUGCAAUCAUUGAAAUGGGGGUGUGGCUUGCCUGGAGUGGAAGAAAUCACCGAGAAGAAGUGCGAGAGGCUCGCGGAAAGAAUCGCCGGAAAUCUUUCUCUCUCGGAGGGGCUGAAUAAGGGCAGGGAAAAAAGGUCAUUUUCAGAAUGUAAAAACAUGGUGAAAAUGAUUCCAUCGGAACGGGCUCGACAAAACGAAGAAGUGGGCUUUGGAAUCACCUGAUUUGGAGUUGGGAGUAAAAACAUAUGAAGGUUUUUCUGCCAGGGACCCAUCUAUAAAGAAAUAUUUUUCAGCCUGGGCCUAAACAGAAAAACUAAAAGCACCUACGGCCGAAAUACGUUUUCUGCAUAGGGAAGCGUAUUUCCAGUCGCAGUUAACCAAAGUAUGCUUUCUGAAUAGGAAAAACGUAUUCCAGAGGAUACGUGUCCACUUAUCUAACUAGGCAGAGGUGGGACCGGGCUUGGAGUCGCUGACGUGCGGGUCCCACGGGGUGUGGGGCCCGUCACUUAUCCAGCUAGGCAGGCGGGUUCAACGCCUGCCCGCCGACAGGUGGGGCCGAGGGCCCACUGGUUAGCUGGGGCAGGUCCUUCGUCUCCUUCAUCGCGCUCGCCCGACGGGGCAGAGGGAAGAGCGCGGUUCCGGCGCCCGUUCGGCCGGCUCCGUCCAUCGUUCGAAGCUCCCAGACCACGCACGUGUAGAGGGGGCCAAGGCAAACCCGUCCCUGUAGGGUACAGACGUCGAGGAGGUUGGGAUGGAACAGGGCACCAGACGUGGCGGAGGAGAGCUUCGGCUGGAGUUGGGACAUGGCGAUCUGGUUGCUCCAGCGACAAAAGGAGAGAGGGGAGGGACUCGCCGGGGUCUGGGUGUGCUUCUGGUGGUGGUAAGGUGGAGGGAGAGGCGUUGACUCGCUCAAAUUUGAGCGGAGCCAAAUGGCGGCCAUGGUGGCAAUGGAGGUCGAGGAGGGGCUCUAGUGCUCGGGGGAACUAGGGGAGAGGAGUGAGGCUGCUGGUGCGGUCGAGGGAGCUCGGGGUUGGCUUAUAUAGCCGCAGGACGAGGUGGCGAGCUGGCGUCGCCGCGGAUGCGUGUGCACGCGCAUGAGCUUGAGGGUAGCUAAACGACGGGGGAGGAGCAGUGGAAGUUCUCACGGGGUAGAGGAGGCCAGCAAAGGUGCAGGGAGGAAGAGACGAGGAGGAAGACGACGACCGGCGCAUUGUGCUCCCGUAGGCGUUCGGCGGCGAGCGUCGAUGAGGGGUUUUACGGAGAGGGAGAGAGCUCCAGGAGGACGGCGACGACGCGGUAAAACUCUUGGACACGCUCACGCGCGCGAGGCCAAUGAGAGGAGGAGCUGUAACUACCAUUAAUUAAUAUGGUUGCUUUGUAACUACCAUUAUUGGUCCAGAAUCAAAAUCAUGAUGGUUCACUCACAUAGAGUAACCACUAGAGAUGAAAUUUUGCAAGGCUUAGUGAUUUGGCCAUAUAAAGGUGCUGUAAAAAUUUCAUACCAAUUGGUUUUAGCAAAAUGGUACUUCCUUCACAGCUAUCCCCUCUGUCCAGAAACUUGCAAAAAUUCUAGAGAAAUAUUGGCUUCAAGAAUUGAUGCCAAAUUUGGUGGAGAGAAGUUAUUUGGGUAGGAUAAUUCUCUGGUAAAUUUUCAGGCAAAAUGAAGCAAUAUAAAAUAUACUUGCUUCACAACCUGAAAAUAUUGAUAAAAUCAAAGAUUUGAUGUUGUGCUCACAUAGAUCACGGGAUGAAGCUGAAACUUGUAGGAGUGAGGUAAUAUGACCACAAGAAGAGGCAUGCAUAAUUUCAACGCAUUUGGAUUACCCUAGCUAGCAGUUCCUUCACAAAGGCUUCCCUCAAACAGAAACUUUGAAAAAUCACUGAGGAAGUCUGGCUAGGCAAAUAAAGUUGAACUUUUGGCACAGGUAAAUUAUUUGGACGAUUUGUCAUGCCCAAAAUGUUUGGGGGCAAAUGGGCAAAGAUAAAUAGCACUUGAUUCACAAUGUGCCAUUUAGGACAGAAUAUGAAAUGAAUUUAUUGAUCAUGAUGAGAAAUAUGGCCAAUGAAAUAUUUUGCCAUAUUUGAGGAAGAUAUGACCCAAACAAUUUAUAAGAAUUAUUUGGGGAUUUUUGGAUUGGCAAAAAUAUGGGUUGCUUCACAACAUAGAGUAGACAGGGUUAUUCCUUUAACAGAAAAAGGAAUAUUUCCUAGAAAAAGAAUUUAGGGUUUGGUCAAGCAGUGGAGUGACAUGGUCUUGGCAAGGUUUUUAGGAUGGUGAGCCACUUGGGAGAGGAAAUGAAGAUGAUUUCCCAGGUGACAAGGCCACAGAACCACUCCAAAAAGAAAAACAGAGCAAAAACCCAAUAAAUCAAAAGAAAAAGAAAAGGGCCAAAAUCCAAGCUAUUACAAAUCUUACCCCCUUAAAGAAAUAUCGUCCUUGAGAUUUAGUUGCUCAGGGAGCAAGUAUGACUUGAGGACACCGUUUCCAGCUUGGGUAUCCUUUUUCUUUAGUUAUUGUUCCCCCAAGAAUUUUAUAUGAUUUGAUUAUCUUUGCUCGGGGUGGUUUGCUUCACCUUUCCCCAAAUUAUGACGGGGUUUUGCUCAUAUACAACUUCCUUUUGCUGACGUGAAUUUUCUCAUAUCUACAAUGAUAUCCAAUGGAUCUGAGCAUGAAAUUUUCCUUUGGUCAGACAAGCCUUUUUACUUCUGUCAUGGGGUUGCUUCAAAUAAGUGCAAGCCUUGUGGGUUCAAUAAAUGCUUAGAGUUAAUCAUGGCCAUCUUCUGACGGGAUUUGAAAGCUCAAAGAUGGUAUUGAUUUUGAUUUAUUUCUUUGUCUUGAGCGUGAGAUAUGUACCAAAGAUCUGACUGCCUUUUGUCAGGAGCAAUAUAACGAUGUAUGGAGUUAUAGCUGUGUCAUACUUCAAAUAUUUACAUCUUGAGAUUGGCCCGAUAGAGGGCUAACGGACAAAUGCUUUUCCUGACAGACUGACCAUGUAUUUGAUUUCGUCGGUGAGUAUACCGGGUCUGAGCUGAUUGUCCGGCUUUUGACUUCCUCAUUUUGUCGGUAUACCUAUUUGGAUUUUCCAUAUUAACCAUUCCCAGCUGGAUAUGAAAUCCUUGUAAAAUAGAGUAGGCCUCUGAGAGUAUGUCUUUUUGGACCCAUAUGGAAUUACGGCCUCCAACCGAUUUGGGUCUCUGGACCCUGAUGGUUGCGCAAAAAUCAUUCUACCUUUGCUGUCAGUCUCACCCUUUUAACGGUCAUGAUUUUCUUUGUCAGGAUACCUUACUGAAAUAACUUGGCCACACCUGUCCUUGAUUUUUCGUAUGACUAUGACUGUGGCUAGCGCGAUAUUGUUGACAUUAUUCCUUUUGCUUAUUUUCUGACCUGGUUCCACACACAUAUGACAUAUGUUCGGAGCUUGUAGCUGUACAGAGCUCAUUGCUGAGUCCAAUUAUACGAGAAGGUGACAAGAGUUCAUAUAUCACCUUGUCUGGUGCGGGAAUAAUGACCUUGAUGACCAUUGUCAACACUGUGGAUUCUGUGAUGUCAUCCCCAGAUCUUGUCGAUCCUUGUAAUUCAUGAGAUGUAUCUCUGCUUAUCUUCCUUUGCAUGAUUCAUGAGGCUAUGGGGUCCGUACUUUCCUUUAAGUAUAUCUGUUGGAUCUGUACCUCGUAUGAGUGACUGAUAUGAUUGGGGGUGCAUGCUCACCAUAUGUAUAAGAAGAAUAUGCCAACUAACACUCGAUCCUUGCGGUAGGCAUAUGUUUUGACUGCAUUGUAUCUCUGACAAAAUUAUUGCAAAUCUGAUCUCUGAACUACACAGAGAAGCCAUCCGAGUAGCUUGCUGAGGAAGACUUGUUAACUUCUGCUCGAAGCUUUUGUCUGGGUAUCGUGUCAAAGAAGGCUUUAUAGCUUAUACAUGAAGCUUGGUCUGAUUAUUGUGUUGGAGAAGCCUGAGUUCCAUACUUGAGAAGCUUCUCCUCGGGUUUGCUUGUUGAGAAAAUUUUCAUUUUUGUCUGUCAGAAGCUUUUACCAAGGUAUCUUGCUGAGAACGACCGGGUAUCUUGAACCAGAAAUUAUUCACAUAUCAUGCUGAGGAAAAAUUUAGGAGCCUUGCAUCAUAAAUUUCUUCCGAUAACGUGUGGAAGAAGACUGAGUUUCUUACAUCCAAAGCUUCAUACUAAUAUGCAGACUGAAAUCUACACACAUGCCCAUAAUAUGAUGUGGCUGAUUAUUCGCAUGAGAAAAUUUGUUUGACUAUCUUCCUUGAGCAUAUCACAUUCUGACUUUAUUUCGCAUGAUAACAUAUUUCAAGCGUCAUGCCUUGAUGAGCCAAAAUUUUGUAUAUGCUCCAUACCUUUGACUGGAAAUAUACCGAUGAUCUUGUACCUGACUUGUCUUGCUGCUGACUUGACUAUUACUGUUGUGAGUAUUUUGUACUGAUGUAGACUUGAGUUAUCAGUACUGUUGUGAGGAGUGCACACUACUGCAAAAUUGAUUAUCAACCUCAAAAUUAGUUAUUCCCCAUUUCACUGCAGUCGGCAGAGAAUUCCAUUUUGUUUAGCUGAGUUUCCAAAUAUUUGAACUCCUUGUUGAUUCUUCAGAUCCGGUGUCGGUUGAUGAGUAACUCUUUAUAGGGGAAAAAUAAUGUAACAUCGGGGCCCAAAAAGAAAUAAGCAAAAUAAACUCAAGCACACAACAGCAAUCAAUUCACACACACAAUCAGUGUCACAUAUUAUGGCUAGUCACACAAUAUGCAUGCCUACUUAAGCACACAAAUCGCGCGGGAUCUCUGGUUCUACGAUCUAGCAUGAUGUGACGAUGUGCACGAGGACGAAUAUAUGUGUGGAAGAAUUGGUAUAAACAGCGCUACACCAAGUGCUAGCUUAGCCAGGUAGCAACCUGGACUAGCUCGGAGGCGAGGACGUACUUGGUAACCAUGUAGCAGGACAUGAAUGUCGCAACCACAUUAUUAUUAAGCAGAUGGAAAAUAUCCGUACUCAUCCAAGAAAUAAGGAUAUUGGGGAAAAUUGAGGCUGCUGACAUUGCCCUUUCUUGAUAACUCAGAUCAUUAAGGGUUGCCAACACGACAAAAUAAAAGAGCGAUUUGGGAUAGAAGCAUGUCUAUCACCGAAACGAAAUGGGACUGAAGGAAGGAAUUCGACGCGAUACCGAAGCACCAUUUUUGCAAACAGUGUCGGGAUCACUUAGCAUCACUCUGCCGGGACAGAAAUGACACCAAACACCGAAGAACAAGCAAGAAAAGAAAACUGGAGAAAUGCAAAGGCUGAGCUAUAGUGGAUCCAAACCGAUGCCACCUACACUCACCAGAUAAACCGUCAGCAGCAAAUAAGGCUAUAUGCAUGUUAUGCACAAACAAAUGUAGCAACCAAAUGCAAUAAACAAGCCGGACUCCAUACUACUGAUUUCUACCAGUUUCUACCGCUCGCACUGACUAGGGCGUCCUACAGCCAGACCUGCUCUGAUACCAAGCCUGUGGCACCCCGACUCAGAGAAACCGGAACGCCCCGUAUUCCAGCCCAGAGACCGAGGAGAAGUCUCUGGAAUAUGGCACUUCUUGACAUAGAACAAAUCAGCUCUUAUUACAAGAAUAAUAAUACAAGGGUCUGAUGUUACAAAGAAGCACAUCAGCACGGCGACACUAUGCCUGUGAUACUACACUUGCUCUAUGCUAGCAGCAGAACAACUCGAAGCAGCGGAAUACUUCUAGCAGCGGAACAACGACGAAGGUGGUGAACUCCACUCCGCAGGGACUCUGGCUGGGACACGAUAUAGCUCGCACGCACGCCAACCAUCGACAAGCAAUCAAGCAAUCAUGGCAUCACCUGCAAUCUGGCAUGACACGCCAGGUCAGUACAUUGAAUGUACUUGCAAGCUCACAACAACCAUAAACAUCAAGGCAAGACAAUAACAUAGCAUUAAUAGGUUAAUUAAAUUAGCAACUAUUAUGAUGAAACAACUACUAAGCAUGGUAUGAAACGGAUACAAUACUAAUAAAUCACCAUCUCAGAUCUCCAUAACCAUAUCACUCUUGGCUAACCAGCCAAGCAAUAUACCAUCUCGAUCACCUCGUGAUCAAAACCAAAUGGUGAUCUUUCCGGUGAUCACUACCAUGACCAACACUUGGUCUCAAACGGUGAUCUUUCCGGCGAUCACUACCAUGACCAACACUUGGUCUCAAACGGUGAUCCUUCCGGCGAUCACUACCACCACCAACACUAGGUCUCCAAUAUCAUCAUCAACAUCCUGUCCAUCUGUACUGCUCAACAUAUCAACAUAUAAAUCACCUAUAAGUCAUUCCGUCAUGUGAGUGUUGAUCAAACGGUGUGACCUAGUACUAACCCAUGCCCACGACUGAGGACGCGUCUAUCGAUAGUUUAAAUACACUCUGCAGAGGUAGCGCACUGUACCCACACCACAGAACCCAUGGCCUCGCACUCCCAUUCGGGUGGACCAACGGCGUUCCGACAAAACCGAUCUACUGCCAUGACACUCUCCCGGCCACUCCGACUCACUCCCCACUAGCAUAGUCCUGGGUGGCCCCGUGUCUACCAAAGACACAACAACCACCGUCGUGGCCAAAACAGCCACCAUCGUGGCAAACAAAAUGGUCCCAAACAGGGACCACGCGUGCAAAAUCCAACUACGAGCACACAGGGUUAUGUCUGCUUACCGGUCCAGGGUACCGCACGCCCAUAACCUUCCCUCGUUGGAGGCACCGGUGAGAGGCAUGACAAUAGACUGCAUUAGGGCCUUCCCAUAAAGGCAAAUGUGGUUGCACUGGAAAAAGCCCGGUUCGGUGGCACCUGACCAACUUAAUGAUGGAAUUUAUCCCCAAAGUAUAAUAGUAAUGGCUGAUAUUCUGAUAUCAUCUAUCUACCUAUAAUCCAAGUCAUAACAAUAUCCAACAAAUAAUCCAAAGCUGAAUAUCGUAUCUCUAGAAUACUCCGAGGACAGCAUAACACUACUAUCAUGAUGAAUCCAAGAAUGAUAAGACUACUACUCAAAUAUCAAGAACUAACUAUCCAACUAUGAUCCACAUGCAAGCAUCAUCUCCAACAUCAUACUCCAAAACAUAAUAUUAUCUAGCAUCAUGAUGAAAAUAACACUAGCCACUAAUAAUCCAAAGGCAACAUGAUAUCCAAAGUAAUGCUCCAAGAUAAUAACAGAUACCAUCAUGACAAAAAUCAUACUAGCCACUAAGAAUCCAAAGGCACAUGAUAUCCAAAGUAAUGCUCCAAGAUAAUAACAGAUACCAUCAUGACAAUAAUCAUACUAGCCACUAAGAAUCCAAAGGCAC